rnacentral:rRNA from 1 species
UGAGGAAUAUUGGGCAAUGCCCGCAAGGGUGACCCAGCAACGCCGCGUGGAGGAUGAAUGUCGUAAGAUUGUAAACUCCUGUUAGAGGGGAAGAAUAGUACCGGUUGGACCGGUAUAUGACUGUACCCUCAGAGAAAGCCCCGGCUAACUACGUGCCAGCAGCCGCGGUAAUACGUAGGGGGCAAGCGUUGUCCGGAUUUACUGGGUGUAAAGGGCGCGCAGGCGGGAUAAAAAGUCAGUGGUGAAAUCCUACAGCUUAACUGUAGAACUGCCUUUGAUACUUUUAUUCUUGAGUUCGGGCGAGAGAGACGGAAUUCCAGGUGUAGUGGUGAAAUACGUAGAUAUCUGGAAGAACACCAGUUGCGAAGGCGGUCUCUUGGUCCGACACUGACGCUGAGGCGCGAAAGCGUGGGGAGCAAACA